GAACCUGCGGAGGGAUCAUUACAGAGUUGCAAAACUCCCACAAACCAUCGCGAAUCUUACCCGUACGGUUGCCUCGGCGCUGGCGGUCCGGAAGGCCCUCGGGCCCCCGGAUCCUCGGGUCUCCCGCUCGCGGGAGGCUGCCCGCCGGAGUGCCGAAACCAAACUCUUGAUAUUUUAUGUCUCUCUGAGUAAACUUUUAAAUAAGUCAAAACUUUCAACAACGGAUCUCUUGGUUCUGGCAUCGAUGAAGAACGCAGCGAAAUGCGAUAAGUAAUGUGAAUUGCAGAAUUCAGUGAAUCAUCGAAUCUUUGAACGCACAUUGCGCUCGCCAGUAUUCUGGCGAGCAUGCCUGUUCGAGCGUCAUUUCAACCAUCAAGCUCUGCUUGCGUUGGGGAUCCGCGGCUGCCCGCGGUCCCUCAAAAACAGUGGCGGGCUCGCUAGUCACACCGAGCGUAGUAACUCUACAUCGUUCUGGUCGUGCGGCGGGUUCUUGCCGUAAAACCCCCCAAUUUCUAAGGUUGACCUCGGAUCAGGUAGGAAUACCCGCUGAACUUAAGCAUAUC
rnacentral:rRNA from 1 species